rnacentral:lncRNA from 1 species
CUGCGACGGCCACCUUUGGAUAGAUCAGGCCGACCUGCGGCGGACCGACGGCGGGAGGCCGUCCGCCGACGGCUCGCGGAUCGUCGCCCAACGCGGCCAUGAGGUCGGCGCGCCCCAAGAGGGCCAACGUCGCCAGGAGCGCCGAGACACAGAGGUGCGAAAAGAUGUGGCUCGGAUCAAACAUGCCGGUGUGCUCGCAGAGCCAUGCGAGGUCGUCGCACGCGGCCGGCCACGGCAGGCCCGACGGCAGGGAAGCGAUGACGCCGAGAACGCGAAAGAACUCGUAUCUGUAGCGCAAAGUCUUGGCGACGGCGUCGCCGCCGUGGCGCUCGCGCAGCCCCGCCAGGCCGCCGCGCAAAGUGACGUUCCAAGCGGCGCCGACGCCCUCUUGCGAUGCGCCCGCCGGGUCUGCCGCCGCCUCGUGGGCCAGUCGCUCGUCGCGGGCUUUGUCUUCUUCCUCUCGCCAUUCGUCUUCCGGGUCGGCAACGUACGGGCCAGUGGGGAACAGCGCAGAGAUUGCGUCAGGAUACAAUGUGAGGCCGAGGUUCGGUAGGAGCAAGGGGUACAACUGAACGGCGACGUCUGGGCUGUUCGCCUCUUUCGCGUGCUCGAUGACAGCCUUCACGCGCUCGACGACAGCCCGAACGGCGGCCGGGGCCAUGCCUUGCACAGCCCAGGCGUGCUUCAUAAACACGCCCAAGUCCAUGCGCAGGCGUCGCCACAGGCAUUCGGCGGCAUCGUCUGGCGCGCGGGCUUGUACCACGCUGACCAUCGAGUGCACGUCGACGGGCGUGAUCGCGCGUGUCGUCGGCCGGUUAUCUUCGGUGCACAGCCACGAUAGCGCCUGACCACGACAGAGGCGGGAGGCGGUCGCGGCGAGGACCAGCCACAGCGCCGAUGGCAGCGGCCACAGCGGCGCGGCGGCCGGAGGACUCGCGGCCGCGCUCAGACGGGCCAGCGCUUCCACCUGGGGAUCAUAGUCCCAGGGACCCUCUUCUUCUUGUCCAUCGGGCGCCGCAGGCAGCGCAGUCGUGGCACCGAGAAGAGAGGCCUUGAUCAAGUCGAGCACGUCGAUGUGGCCGGCCGCGACGGCCGCAUAGAGGCACGCGUGCCAGCCAGAGGCCGACGUCGGGCCAAAGACCUCGGGCCGUACCACGGCAUGGCGCAGGCCCUCGACGUCGCUGGCGGCGCACAGCGACAGCACGGUCGAGUAGCGGCAGCGCCGGGCGACCAGUCGGGUGCUGCCCAGGACGACAUGAAAGCGCCGCCAGGCGAGCAGGCAUGCGCCCAGGUCCUUGGGGUCGAGUACAUGCUCGACAACGAUAUAGUCGAGGAUCUCGUCGGGCAGGACGUCGAUGGCGGGCGCACCCGAAUCAAGCGUCGAGUCCAUGGUUUGACAAUUUCUUUGGACCGCGCCUUUCUGGACCGCCUUGUUGCGCCGUCCACCGAUCAAGGAAAAAGACUUUGCCGCCCGCAAAUUCGAACCAAUUAAAUCUGCCGGCUGCGCGAUUUGCCGGCCCCGAAAAGAGGGGUCUGUGGCAUUGGCGCGGUCACGCUCUACCUCUUUUUUUUUUCUCCAUAAAUGAAGGGAUUCGCAGUAAGUCAGAGGUUCGGUCCUCACGAGACACCGAAUUACCCGGCCGGUUACUCACCCGCAAAAGCCGCCCCGCAAAGGACCCCCUGCGGAUGCGGAAGUGAGCGCGGUGCGAAAAAAAGGGCCACUGUUGACUCGCUUGUUUUCUUUUUUUUAUUUUUUGACAAGACGAGGGUGUCUGGUGUGUUUCCAUUCCUGCCCUGUAAAAAUCAAAAUAAAAAUUCUUUUUUUUUUCCUUUGCCG